CCUACGGGAGGCAGCAGUGGGGAAUAUUGGACAAUGGGGGGAACCCUGAUCCAGCGACGCCGCGUGAGUGAAGAAGUAUUUUGGUAUGUAAAGCUCUAUCAGCAGGGAAGAAAGAAAUGACGGUACCUGACUAAGAAGCCCCGGCUAACUACGUGCCAGCAGCCGCGGUAAUACGUAGGGGGCAAGCGUUAUCCGGAUUUACUGGGUGUAAAGAGAGCGUAGACGGCGAUGUAAGUCUGAAGUGAGAGGCGGGGGCCCAACCCCUGGACUGCUUUGGAAACUGUAUGGCUGGAGUGAAGGAGAGGUAAGUGGAAGUCCUAGUGUAGCGGUGAAAUGCGUAGAUAUUAGGAGGAACACCAGUGGCGAAGGCGGCUUACUGGACUGUAACUGACGUUGAGGCUCGAAAGCGUGGGGAGCAAACAGGAUUAGAUACCCUGGUAGUC
rnacentral:rRNA from 1 species